UAAAAGCCCAAAUAUAUUACCAACUUUCCAACUCUGCUAGUGUUACUUCUGCACUGCUGUGAAAAUCUUGUAUACACACAGACUGCAAAUACUGUGGUAUUCUGUACAGAUGCAUUAACAAAAUUUGUGCCCAGGCUUUUGAGCUUAUAUCUAAAAAGAUGCAAACAAAAUGCUCUGAUCUAGAGUAGAGCUUUCUCUGAGAAAGCAGGGAAAUAUAAUGGAUUUGUCUGGGAUGGAGUUAACUGUGAUAGUACAGCCCGGAUAGCUCUGUAUUUUGGAUUUGUGUCUAAAAAGGUGUUGGUAAUGUGCUAAUGUUUUGGUUACUGCUGAGCAGUGCUUGGCGCACAGUAGCUCUUUCUGCUGCCUCGUCCCUUUGGUGAGUAGGCUGGGAACAGUGAAGAAAUGGAGAGAAGACAUACAUAGUCAGGACAACUGGCCCAAACUGGCCAAAGAGAUAUUCCGUGUCAUUAUCAUGUCAUGCUCUGCAGUAAAAUCCAAGGUAGACAAAGAAGGGGAAAGGUGGGAUCUUCCCAGGUGACUGGGGUCUGGAAGCUCACUGAGCAUCAGUCUGCCUGGAGGUUGGUGAGUGAUUUCCUUUGCUGCACUUUUUUUUUCCAGAAGAUACCUCAGAGUGGCCUGUGAAAACACCUCAUCUCAUGCUAACGCAAAAUGAAAUUAAUCUCAGAACCUAUAUUCAUCCAAGAUUCAGGCCAUAAAUGAAAAUACACAAGAAAGAAGAAACUAAAAGGUUAAGGCACUGAGAAGCAGAUUUCACGUACUGUACACAGCUGAGCCCCCUUAUCAGGGGAACACAAGCUGUACGGAUCAGUUAACUUUAUGAUACAACCUUUACUUUUUACUAUUUCCUGAUCUGGUGUUCAAUUUUACAACCUUAAUGCAAGUUACUUCACUAAUAAAGCAUUUCUUAUAAAGUUUGACCAUAUUACUUAACCUUUACACAGGAACAAAGAUGUCAAAACAUGUUAAAGGCUAAUGUCUAAGGGUAUUAUGUUGACUCUUGGGAAACAAAUUGAGCUUUCCUCUGUGACGCUGUUUCAAAAUUCAUCAUUAAAAGCUAUGUGGUACAAGAAGUUGCUAUCUUUAACCUUGCACCACGUGUUCUUCAG
rnacentral:lncRNA from 1 species